AUGACGCGGGCAGAAGGUGCCCGACGGCCAUGGCAGUGGAGGCUCGGGGUGGUGCAGAGAGGCGAGCUCGAGGGGACGGCCGGAGCAGAGGAGGAGGCGACGCACGGAGACGUGGAAGGAGAGGAGUGGCGCGGUUGGAUGCGCCGACGAGCUGCUCGUGGCCAAGGCGGGCCGAUGGAGGUGCAGAAGAGGACGCGGGCGGGCGGCGCGCUUGAGGAGGUGGCCGACGGGGAGGUGAACAAGGGCGGCGGAGGCGCGGCCCGAUGGGCUCGCUCGGCGGGGACAAAGCAGCAGCGGCGGCAGGAGGCACGGCCAUUGGAAUCGGGCGCGAGGACCUCCUCUCCCUGGCGCGAUGCGUGCGUGCGUGCGUGUGGCGGCGGUGAACAGUGCGAGGGAGAGAGGUGA
rnacentral:rRNA from 1 species